UGCCAGACACGUGGGCUUGUUGGGUAC
rnacentral:piRNA from 1 species